rnacentral:rRNA from 1 species
GACGAACGCUGGCGGCGUGCUUAACACAUGCAAGUCGAGCGGUAAGGCCCUUUCGGGGGUACGACGAGCGGCGAACGGGUGAGUAACACGUGGGUGACCUGCCUCUAGCUCUGGGAUAAGCCUGGGAAGCUGGGUCGUAAUACCGGAUAUGACCUCGCGGUGCAUGUUGCGGGGUGGAAAGCCUUGUGCGGCUAGGGAUGGGCCCGCGGCCUAUCAGCUUGUUGGUGGGGUGANGGCCUACCAAGGCGACGACGGGUAGCCGGCCUGAGAGGGCGACCGGCCACACUGGGACUGAGACACGGCCCAGACUCCUACGGGAGGCAGCAGUGGGGAAUCUUGCGCAAUGGGCGAAAGCCUGACGCAGCGACGCCGCGUGGGGAUGACGGCCU